rnacentral:rRNA from 1 species
UCGAGAAUCUUCGGCAAUGGGGGCAACCCUGACCGAGCGACGCCGCGUGCGGGAUGAAGGCCCUUGGGUUGUAAACCGCUGUUAGGGGGGAGCAAGGGAAACUUGAGCGAGCCCCAAAGAAAGCACGGGCUAAGUUCGUGCCAGCAGCCGCGGUAAUACGAACUGUGCGAACGUUAUUCGGAAUCACUGGGCUUACAGGGUGCGUAGGCGGUUUUCCAAGUCAGGUGUGAAAUCCCCCAGCUCAACUGGGGAACUGCGCUUGAAACUGGAUCACUUGAGGAUGCUAGAGGUAGACGGAACUUCCGGUGGAGCGGUGAAAUGUGUUGAGAUCGGAAGGAACACCAGAGGCGAAGGCGGUCUACUGGGGCAUAUCUGACGCUGAGGCACGAAAGCCAGGGGAGCAAACGGG